rnacentral:lncRNA from 1 species
AGGGGGAGUCUUGAGCUAGGGUUUCCAUCUGCUGUUCCCAGGACCAAGCAGGCAUCUUCAGGACCACCAGCUCCUCCUAGAAGCACUGAGAUGUGCCCAAAGGAGACGGCAUAGCUCAAAGAAGAAAUGCUCAAAGGGGAGGGAAAGAGAGCAGAGAGGAAGCAGGCACUAAAAGAUGAGAAAAUGCAAAACACAGAUCAAGGAUCCAUGAUUGGGGCACAGAAGUGUCUUAAUGGGUAUGUUUUGAAUGCAAACGUGCUUUGUUGUUAGGCUCACCACAACUGGCCCAGAACUUGAUUCACACUGCCCACCCCUCCAUGCUCAUCCAGAGGCCCUAGGGAAAUUGGAGUUUUAUAGUAUCUGUGUUUCCCACUGUUGGAAAAACCAGGUGUGGCCCAGGGAAUCUGUUAGCAGAACAAGACCCACAGACACGUCUUGCUACCAACUUGUGACCUCCCCACCUCCCACCCCCUCACCAAAAUUUCUACAUCAAGCUUCUCACUCCACUUGGGCCACUGAAUAAACCUCACAAAGGGAAGCAGAAUCCAGAGCUAGAAAGCAUCCCUAUUAAGAAGAGAGCUUUUCACUCUGUGCUUCCACUGCAGGGGGCAUGGGUUUGAUCCCUGGUGAGGGAACGAAGACCUAGUAGGUCACAAGGCAUAGCCAAAAAAAGAGAGAGAGGAAGAGAGAGAACUUUUCUCAGUCAUUCACACCCUAGUAUGAAUUUGCCUGGAUUGCUUUGGUCCACUGCCGCUGAUUCAGUCAAGUUUUAAGCAUGGAGCGCUUGGGAGUCAGACCCAGAUGGGGUCUCAAAGGCUUUGAGUAACCAAGAGGGUGGGAGAGGAGCAGUAUGAAGAAAAGGGUGUCAGAAAAUGAGGGACACAGAUUCCACAGACAAACCCAGCCUGUUUCAAGUUUGCUUCCUCCAGGGUCGGAAGCGUUCUUCCACCCACCCCAUCCCCUUGCCCUGUACUAUACACACCACUUCCCCAAGAUGCGGCCCAAGAGCCAUGAGCAGCAAGAGAAAAAUAAGGCCCAUGUGCUAGCUAGACACCCAGCAACCCCAUAU